ACGGUAACAGGUCUUCGGAUGCUGACGAGUGGCGAACGGGUGAGUAAUACAUCGGAACGUGCCCAGUAAUGGGGGAUAGCCCGGCGAAAGCCGGAUUAAUACCGCAUACGCCCUGAGGGGGAAAGUGGGGGACCGCAAGGCCUCACGUUAUUGGAGCGGCCGAUGGCUGAUUAGCUAGUUGGUGGGGUAAAGGCCUACCAAGGCGACGAUCAGUAGCUGGUCUGAGAGGACGAUCAGCCACACUGGGACUGAGACACGGCCCAGACUCCUACGGGAGGCAGCAGUGGGGAAUUUUGGACAAUGGGGGAAACCCUGAUCCAGCAAUGCCGCGUGUGCGAAGAAGGCCUUCGGGUUGUAAAGCACUUUUGUCAGGGAAGAAAUCCUUUGGGCUAAUAUCCCAGGGGGAUGACGGUACCUGAAGAAUAAGCACCGGCUAACUACGUGCCAGCAGCCGCGGUAAUACGUAGGGUGCAAGCGUUAAUCGGAAUUACUGGGCGUAAAGCGUGCGCAGGCGGUUGUGUAAGACAGGUGUGAAAUCCCCGGGCUUAACCUGGGAAUUGCAUUUGUGACUGCACGACUAGAGUGCGUCAGAGGGGGGUGGAAUUCCACGUGUAGCAGUGAAAUGCGUAGA
rnacentral:rRNA from 1 species